CUUCCUUUCUGAGUCAUGGUGGGGACUCUGGAAUCUUCUCAAAGUGGCCCGUCUCCCUAGACGCCCCUCCCAGCCUCCUUCUCCAGGGUCUCGCCACCUCCCUGGACAGCUUUUCUGCGAACUUCUCUCCUGAGCCCAGAUGAGGGGGAAAAUAGGACACCAUGAUGAAGAAAUUUCUCCCAAUUCAAACCAUUAGUCAGCAGGAGUGAUUCACGUGGAAAGUUUGCCCAUGUUACAGACUCCCAAAAAAGGUGAAAGAUGAAGACGAUAGAAACGGGUAUUAUAUGUAGGUGGGUCUUUAAGUGAACGCCUCGUAUUGUCUUUCCCAGCAUCAGGAUCUUUUCCAAUGAGUCAGCUCUUCGCAUCAG